rnacentral:rRNA from 1 species
GAAAAGGAAGCGAUUGGGACCCUUCCGAUUCCAAGAAGUGCCGCCGGUUUGCCAUCUAUCCCUUUGCCUUCUCUCUCUCACCAGGUUUAGGCUUAGGUUUCUCGAUGUAUUUCCGGUUAAUCUUUUUGGAGAGGUCAGCAUCAGCUACUCGGAAUUGAUUUCGUUCAAAGAAGGUAGGUUCCUUGUGGACCCUUAUAUCUUUGUUCUUUCCUUUUCCUUGUGGCUGAGGAGUGUUUUGGUUUCCGAGCUCCACUUUCGAGUACUCGGUUUCUGUGAUGCUGGCUUAAUCGGUUCCAACCGACCCGUCUUGAAACACGGACCAAGGAGUCUAACAUAUGUGCGAGUAUGCGGGUUUUACUCCUGUAUGCGCAAUGAAAGUGAGAGUAGGGAGAUUUUGGCUUUGCCAUUCUUCGCACCUACGACCGACCACGAUCUCUGAGAGAGGUUUGAGUUGGAGCAUAUCUGUUAGGACCCGAAAGAUGGUGAACUAUGCCUGAGUAGAAUGAAGUCAGGGGAAACCCUGAUGGAGGUUCGUAGCGAUACUGACGUGCAAAUCGUUCGUCAAACUUGGGUAUAGGGGCGAAAGACUAAUCGAACC